AUUGAACGCUGGCGGCAUGCCUUACACAUGCAAGUCGAACGGUAACAGGUCUUCGGAUGCUGACGAGUGGCGAACGGGUGAGUAAUACAUCGGAACGUGCCUAGUAGUGGGGGAUAACUACUCGAAAGAGUGGCUAAUACCGCAUGAGAUCUACGGAUGAAAGCAGGGGAUCGCAAGACCUUGUGCUACUCGAGCGGCCAAUGGCAGAUUAGGUAGUUGGUGGGAUAAAAGCUUACCAAGCCGACGAUCUGUAGCUGGUCUGAGAGGACGAUCAGCCACACUGGGACUGAGACACGGCCCAGACUCCUACGGGAGGCAGCAGUGGGGAAUUUUGGACAAUGGGCGAAAGCCUGAUCCAGCAAUGCCGCGUGCAGGAUGAAGGCCUUCGGGUUGUAAACUGCUUUUGUACGGAACGAAAAGCCCCGGGUUAAUACCCUGGGGUCAUGACGGUACCGUAAGAAUAAGCACCGGCUAACUACGUGCCAGCCGCCGCAGUAA
rnacentral:rRNA from 1 species